AACAUGAUUACAAAAAAGGGUCCCAGGAGGGACAAUAAGGAAAGCAGGCUGAGUUUGGCUAAGUGCCUGCUGUGCUCCUCUGGGUUUGUACUGGUUUAACCUGAUACACUACAGCUCAGAUUCUGUACAUACACUCAAGCUUCAAAUCAGUAGCACCUGGAGACCCCAGCUGAGAUCAGGACCCCAUCGUGUAGGCACUGCACAAACACAGAGUAAGAGUUCUUUCUCAGAAGAGCUUCCAUUCUAAACAGAACUACUGAGCACCCACAAUAAAGUCACCAGGAGCUUCAGAAGUCAGCCAUGGACACAGGAAGAAAGGAAAGAACUUCAGUGAGAGUUUACCCGAGUGAGGAAUCAAGCCUGGACUCUAUGCAUGCAGUUUCUGUACUAGUUUAAUGAAGUAUGGGAAUUGAUAGAAUGUGUUAGAAACUUCAGACGUCUUACUUCCUCUGCCUGCCCCAUCCAGGUCUCAUCCCACCUUUUCCAAGUCAUUAUCCAAGAAGUGUCAGAGAAAGCCCAAGCAUCCCUUUUGCUCCCACUUUUGCUUUGGGGGAGGUGGAUGGUGGGGGAAACAGGAACACUGCACAAGAUUCACGCAUUCCCCUUGGAUGAGUCUGAACUAAUUUAUCCAUUGACUCUGUGAUCAGUUAGAAAUCAACAGCAUGUGUGAAACUGAUGAUCACUUUUCUAUUCUUCAUACAACUGGAAAAUUUGAUUUGGCCAACCUCACAUUACAGAGAUACAUGCUCUCCAUGGGCUGAGUGGAAUACUAGGCAGUCAUGACAGUACCAGCCAUCAUCUCCAGAGACCUUUAAUCCCUGACAAAUCUUUUCUUCUUGAAAGUAACUGUGGGUGGUCUCCCUUUUUUCUAAUUUCAGUAACUUUGGUACAUCACUUUCUAGUUAUGCAGCUGAUGCUCAUGUUUGUAUGAAUAGCUAUUAAAAAAAAGGAAAGAUCAGA